rnacentral:rRNA from 1 species
UUGGAAGUAAAAGUCGUAACAAGGUUUCCGUAAUUGACCCGGCGGAAGGAUCAUUG